rnacentral:rRNA from 1 species
GAUGAACGCUGGCGGCGUGCCUAAUACAUGCAAGUCGAGCGAACAGACGAGGAGCUUGCUCCUCUGACGUUAGCGGCGGACGGGUGAGUAACACGUGGAUAACCUACCUAUAAGACUGGGAUAACUUCGGGAAACCGGAGCUAAUACCGGAUAAUAUAUUGAACCGCAUGGUUCAAUAGUGAAAGACGGUUUUGCUGUCACUUAUAGAUGGAUCCGCGCCGCAUUAGCUAGUUGGUAAGGUAACGGCUUACCAAGGCAACGAUGCGUAGCCGACCUGAGAGGGUGAUCGGCCACACUGGAACUGAGACACGGUCCAGACUCCGACGGGAGGCAGCAGUAGGGAAUCUUCCGCAAAGGGCGAAAGCCUGACGGAGCAACGCCGCGUGAGUGAUGAAGGUCUUCGGAUCGUAAAACUCUGUUAUUAGGGAAGAACAAAUGUGUAAGUAACUAUGCACGUCUUGACGGUACCUAAUCAGAAAGCCACGGCUAACUACGUG